rnacentral:tRNA from 1 species
GGGCCCAUAGCUCAGUCGGUUAGAGCAGUGGACUCAUAAUCCAUUGGUGCGGGGUUCGAGUCCCUGUGGGCCCA